rnacentral:tRNA from 1 species
GCUAUAUAAAGCUAAUAAAGCUAAUGAGUUCAUACCUCAUAAAUGAAUAUAUCU